rnacentral:rRNA from 1 species
AUUGAACGCUGGCGGAAUGCCUUACACAUGCAAGUCGAACGGCAGCACGGGAGCAAUCCUGGUGGCGAGUGGCGAACGGGUGAGUAAUACAUCGGAACGUGCCCAAUCGUGGGGGAUAACGUAGCGAAGCUACGCUAAUACCGCAUACGAUCUACGGAUGAAAGCAGGGGAUCGCAAGACCUUGCGCGAAUGGAGCGGCCGAUGGCAGAUUAGGUAGNGGUGGGGUAAAGGCUCACCAAGCCUUCGAUCUGUAGCUGGUCUGAGAGGACGACCAGCCACACUGGGACUGAGACACGGCCCAGACUCCUACGGGAGGCAGCAGUGGGAAUUUUGGACAAUGGGCGCAAGCCUGAUCCAGCCA